GAUGAACGCUGGCGGCGUGCCUAAUACAUGCAAGUCGAGCGAAGCGGGGACGGGUGAGUAACACGUGGAUAACCUCCUAUAAGACUGGGAUAACUUCGGGAAACCUGAGCCAAACCGGAUACUUAUAGAUGUAUCCGCGCUGCAUUAGCUAGUUGGUAAGGUAACGGCUUACAAAGGCAACUCUGCAUAGCCGACCUGAGAGGGUGUUAGGCAACACUGGAACUGAGAAAGGGUCCAGACUCCAACGGGAGGCAGCGGUAGGGAAUUGUCGGCAAUGGUGGAAAGCCUAACGGAGCAACGCCGCGUGAGUAAGGAAGGUCUUCGGAUCGUAAAACUCUGUUAUUAGGGAAGCGGUACCUAAUCAGAAGGCCACGGCUAACUACGUGCCAGCAGCCGGGUAAUAC
rnacentral:rRNA from 1 species